CUUCCAUCAUAACUUCACUAUUCUGGGUUAUUCUAAAUUUCUCACACUCUUUAGUAUGAAAUUUUAAAUCCAUUGAUGAUGAAACCAUUAUAUCUGUUGAUAAUAUUUUUAAGACCUCCAGCAAUAACUACUAAUUCAUCUGAAUAGUUUCUCUCCAUCAUUAGUGGUACCUAAAAAUCAUGAUAAAAUUGAUGAUAUAAUAUUCAAUAUUAAUAAAUAUAUCCAAAAUCAAUGUACCCUUUACAUAUAUGUCUAACCUAUUUGAAAAGCUAAUUAGGGAAUAACUUGACCAACCAUCAUUGCUCAAUCCUUUGGUUAGGAUGAAUGCUAUGGUUGGUUCA
rnacentral:lncRNA from 1 species